GCCGGGGUGCCCGAGCGGCCUAAGGGGGUAGGCUCGAGACCUACUGCCCCGUGUAGGGGUGCGCGGGUUCGAAUCCCGCCCCCGGCG
rnacentral:tRNA from 1 species